rnacentral:rRNA from 1 species
GACGAACGCUGGCGGCGUGCUUAACACAUGCAAGUCGAACGGAAAGGCCCUGCUUUUGUGGGGUGCUCGAGUGGCGAACGGGUGAGUAACACGUGAGUAACCUGCCCUUGACUUUGGGAUAACUUCAGGAAACUGGGGCUAAUACCGGAUAUGAGCUCCUGCUGCAUGGUGGGGGUGGGAAAGUUUCGGCGGUUGGGGAUGGACUCGAGGCUUAGCAGCUUGUUGGUGGGGUAGUGGCUUACCAAGGCUUUGAGGGGUAGCCGGCCUGAGAGGGUGACCGGCCACAUUGGGACUGAGAUACGGGCCAGACUCCUACGGGAGGCAGCAGUGGGGAAUAUUGCACAAUGGGCGGAAGCCUGAUGCAGCAACGCCGCGUGCGAGAUGACGGCCUUCGGGUUGUAAACCGCUUUCGCCUGUGACGAAGCGUGAGUGACGGUAAUGUGUAAAGAAGCACCGGCUAACUACGUG